UACGUAGGGUCCGAGCGUUGUCCGGAAUUAUUGGGCGUAAAGAGCUCGUAGGCGGUUUGUCGCGUCUGCUGUGAAAUCCCGAGGCUCAACCUCGGGCCUGCAGUGGGUACGGGCAGACUGGAGUGCGGUAGGGGAGAAUGGAAUUCCUGGUGUAGCGGUGGAAUGCGCAGAUAUCAGGAGGAACACCGAUGGCAAAGGCAGUUCUCUGGGCCGUAACUGACGCUGAGGAGCGAAAGCGUGGGGAGCGAACAGG
rnacentral:rRNA from 1 species